UACGGAGGGUGCGAGCGUUGUCCGGAAUCAUUGGGCGUAAAGGGCGCGUAGGUGGCCACUUCAAGCGUGCGGUGAAAGUCGGGGGCUCAACCCCUGAUCGGCCGUGCGAACUGGGGGGCUGGAGCACUGUAGAGGCAGGCGGAAUUCCGGGUGUAGCGGUGGAAUGCGUAGAGAUCCGGAAGAACACCGGUGGCGAAGGCGCUCUACUGGACCACAACUGACACUCAGGGACGAAAGCUAGGGGAGCGAAUGGG
rnacentral:rRNA from 1 species